ACGGGUGAGUAAUGCUUAUCUUACCUACCAUUUAGUGGGGGAUAACCAAAGGAAGCUUUGGCUAAUACCGCAUAUUCUGGCUUCGGCCAGGAAAGGAUUUCGGUUCGCUAAAUGAUGGGGAUAAGGCGUAUUAGCUAGUUGGUGGGGUAAUGGCCUACCAAGGCCAAGAUGCGUAGCCAAACUGAGAGGUUGACUGGCCACAAGGGAACUGAGACACGGUCCCUCUAUCCUACGGGAGGCAGCAGUGGGGAAUAUUCCACAAUGGGCGAAAGCCUGAUGGAGCAAUGCUACGUGAAGGAUGAAGGUCUAUGGAUUGUAAACUUCUUUACUCAGGUGUACUCCUAAAAGCUUACACUUGGGCAAAAAGUCACGACUAACUAUGUGCCAGCAGUCGCGGUAAGACAUAGGUGGCAAACGUUAUCCGGAUUUAUUGGGCGUAAAGGAUGCGUAGAUGGUGGAAUAAGUUAUUGGUCAAAGUCAAGCUCAACUUGGCGGAAGCUGGUAAUACUAUUCUACUUGAGGAUAGGAGAGGUUGGCGGAAUUCUGUGUGGAGCGGUGAAAUGCGUUGAUCUACAGAGGAACACCAAAAAAGGCGAAGGCAGCCAACUAUUCUACUCCUGACAUUGAGGCAUGAAAGCGUGGGGAGCAAACCGGAUUAGAUACCCGGGUAGUCCACGCCCUAAACGAUGAGCAUUAGACAUUAGGUAUUAACUUAGUGUCGCAGCUAACGCUUUAAAUGCUCCGCCUGGGUAGUACGGCCGCAAGGCUGAAACUCAAAGGAAUUGACGGGGACUCGCACAAGCGGUGGAGCAUGUGGUUUAAUUCGAUACAACGCGCAGAACCUUACCAAGGCUUGACAUGAAGGGCAAUGUUGAAGAAACUCAACAGAGGUUAUCCCGACACAGGUGGUGCAUGGUCGUCGUCAGUUCGUGCUGUGAAGUGUAUGCUUAAGUGCUAGAACGAACGCAACCCUCAUGUUUAGUUACUAACAUUUAGUUGAGACUCUCUAAACAGACUGCCAGGGUAAUAACCUGGAGGAAGGAGAGGAUGACGUCUGAUCAUC
rnacentral:rRNA from 1 species